rnacentral:rRNA from 1 species
AUACGGAGGAUCCUAGUGUUAUCCGGAUUUAUUGGGGUUAAAGGGAGCGUAGGCGGGAGGUCAAGUCAGCUGUGAAAUGUAUCUGCUUAACGGGGACACUGCAGUUGAAACUGGUUUUCUUGAGUGCGUAAGAGGCAGGCGGAAUUCGCUGUGGAGCGGUGAAAUGCUUAGAUAUGACGAGGAACUCCUAUUGCGAAGGCAGCUUGCUGGGUCGUUACUGACGCUGAUGCUCGAAGGUGCGGGGAUCAAACAGGAUUAGAUACCCUGGUAGUCCGCACAGUAAACUAUGGAUACCCGCGGUUUGGCCUGUAUGGCUGAGCCGCCAAGCGAAAGCGUUAAGUGUCCCACCUGGGGAGUACGCCGGCAACGCUGAAACUCAAAGGAAUUGACGGGG